UUUUCUCUCUCACUCCAGAAAAAGACCGCAUAAUGAGAUGAAGAAAUCACCAGUUGGCAGUUGGUGUUCCUGCUUCAGCCUGGGAAAUCCAUCCUCUGUGGCUAAAGGCAAACUGCAACGCAAUCCCAGGGAGCCCCUACAAGAAGUCUCAGAAUAUUUCUAACACUCUCAUUAUGGAGGUGAAUCUAAGCAGUUUUGAUCCAGAAGACCCGGGACCAGCAGCGAUGCACUGUGUGCUUCCUUCGAUGGAGAGCUCUUAGGAAGCAUGAAUCGCUGCAGUUCUGAUGACAGCCUUCCACAUGACAACAACAAUGGGGAUAAGGAGCUCAUCCACGUUCCUGCCCUCAUUUCUCCUGGCUCCGCUGAUGAUGUUGACCUGAGCCCGCCAGACAUCACAGUCGCUAGCCUGGAUUGUGACCCAAUGCCUUUCCAGUGCAGCCCACCCCAAGCAGAGCCCAAGUGCCUGAACAGCAGCACCUCCUUGAGGAGCAGGUCGGCAUCGCUGAGGAGAAGCCGAGCUUCUUGGAGGCGGACUUAGAGCCAGGCAGCCAGUCCCAGGCACCAGGCAGCAGCACAAGCUCUGAACUAGUCUCUCAAUUCCCAGAGGAGUCCCUCUUUUACUCUGGAUCUCUCUUGCCCUUCUGUCUUUUAAUGAGUAAAGGCAUACUCAUGUUCAAUCAACACCUUGACUCCGUUCUGGGUCUUCAUUCACAGGGACUGGGUUCAAUAUAAAAAACUGCAAGGCACUUCAGCUUGCAAUGGUAUGGCUUUUGGCUGUGUGCUGCAGAGCUCUGGCUUUGUUCCCACGUUGUAUGGCUUUGGGGUGUCUGCAGGGAGAGAUCUGCUACUGUUUUGUAUGGUAGCAAAUAGCAUCCUGGUUGCUGCUCAUUAAAAUCCCCAGCUUCCUGGCUGCA